GUCCACGCCGUAAACGAUGGAUGCUAGGUGUGGGCGGUGUCGACUCCGUCCGUGCCGAAGCUAACGCAUUAAGCAUCCCGCCUGGGGAGUACGGCCGCAAGGCUAAAACUCAAAGGAAUUGACGGGGGCCCGCACAAGCAGCGGAGCAUGUGGUUUAAUUCGACGCGACGCGAAGAACCUUACCUGGGCUUGACAUGCACAGGAAUGUCGUAGAAAUACGGCAGCCCUUCGGGGCCUGUGCACAGGUGGUGCAUGGCUGUCGU
rnacentral:rRNA from 1 species